UACGGAGGGGGCAAGCGUUGUUCGGAAUCAUUGGGCGUAAAGGGCGCGUAGGUGGUUCUGUAUGUCUACCGUGAAAGCGUACGGCUCAACCGUAUUUUGUCGGUAGAAACUGCAGGACUUGAGGCUGGGAGGGGCUGGUGGAAUUCCCUGUGUAGCGGUGAAAUGCGUAGAGAUGGGGGAGAACACUCGUGGCGAAGGCGGCCAGCUAGACCAGUUCUGACACUGAGGCGCGACAGCGUGGGGAGCAAACAGG
rnacentral:rRNA from 1 species